CAUGACGAUGAUGAGCCCUAACAGACCUGUAAUGAUUCUUGCGGUUAUGAUCGCUUGACAAUGAACAUCUAAGGGACUGAGUCACA